rnacentral:rRNA from 1 species
AUACGGAGGGUGCGAGCGUUAAUCGGAAUUACUGGGCGUAAAGCGUGCGUAGGCGGUUUGUUAAGUCAGAAGUGAAAGCCCUGGGCUCAACCUGGGAACGGCUUUUGAGACUGGCAGACUCGAGUUGAGUAGAGGGGAGUGGAAUUUCCGGUGUAGCGGUGAAAUGCGUAGAGAUCGGAAGGAACACCAGUGGCGAAGGCGACUCCCUGGACUCAAGCUGACGCUGAGGUACGAAAGCGUGGGUAGCAAACGGGAUUAGAAACCCUAGUAGUCC